rnacentral:rRNA from 1 species
ACGGGUGAGUAACACGUGGACAAGUCUGCCCCCGGCCCGGGAUAGCCCAGGGAAACCUGGAUUAAUACCGGAUGGAGACGGGACCCGCGAUGGCGGGACCCGGAAAGGCGCUGCGGCGCCGCCGGGGGGAUGAGUCUGCGUCCCAUUAGCUAGACGGCGGGGUAACGGCCCACCGUGGCGACGAUGGGUAGCCGGCCUGAGAGGGUGACGGCCACAUUGGAACUGAGACACGGUCCAGACUCCUACGGGAGGCGGCAGCUAAGAAUCUUCCGCAAUGGGCGAAAGCCUGACGGAGCGACGCCCGCGUGAACGAAGAAGGCCGUGAGGUUGUAAAGUUCUUUUCGGGAGGGGGAACAACCGUGGCAGGGAAUGGCCGCGGGAUGACGUGAAUCCCGGAAUAAGCCCCGGCUAACUACGUGCCAGCAGCAGC